AAGACUAUGCUUUCGGGGAUCAUUUCUCUAGUGGGUGACUGGAGAAGGGUGGCUGUGAAAAGCUGGUUUUGCUAACCACAAUGAGGAGUUAUAGUGUUUCUUUCAAAACAUGAAAGUAGCAGAGAGUGCUGUUCUAUAACAGCUGCUUUCUGCUGUAAAAAAGCGUAUUGCUCUUCCUGAGAAAAGUAGGGGAAAGAAACAUAGUCUGAGUGGC